rnacentral:rRNA from 1 species
GCGGAGGAAAAGAAACCAACAGGGAUUGCCUCAGUAACGGCGAGUGAAGCGGCAAAAGCUCAAAUUUUAAAGCUGGCAUCUUCGGUGUCCGCGUUGUAAUUUUGUGAGGCAUCUCCGGGUAGGGCGCCGGCCUAAGUUCCUUGGAACAGGACGUCAUAGAGGGUGAGAAUCCCGUGCUUGGCUGGCUGUCCCCGUCCAUGUGAGGUGUCUUCGACGAGUCGAGUUGUUUGGGAAUGCAGCUCAAAAUGGGUGGUAAAUUUCAUCUAAAGCUAAAUAUUGGUGGGAGACCGAUAGCGCACAAGUAGAGUGAUCGAAAGAUGAAAAGCACUUUGAAAAUAGAGUUAAAAAGUACGUGAAAUUGUUGAAAGGGAAGCGCUUGAGACCAGACUUCGGUAGGGAGUGAUCAGCUGUCCUUCUGGGCGGUGCACUUGCUCCCCUCCGGGCCAGCAUCGGUUGGGACGGCGGGAUAAAGGUCCCGGGAAUGUGGCUCCUUUCGGGGAGUGUUAUAGCCCGGGUGAAUGCCGCCAGCCCCGACCGAGGACCGCGCCUUCGGGCUAGGAUGCUUGGCAUAAUGGUCUUCAGCGACCCGUCU